UAGUCUCUAGAAAGCUAAGUAAAUCAUAAUUUGGAAAUCAAUAAAUAAAGUUAUGGACAAAAUACUAAAACAUGUCACUAUAAUACUUUGGAAGGGCUGUGCGUCCAAAGUCGAUUCUGUGUGGUCCGCACAGUGGGUCUAAGAGGGGUAUAUUAGAACAAAAUUUUCUGUUAUUUUUUAUUUUUCAAAACCCCAAAAACAUAAGAGGCAAUUUUUCAAAUAACCUUUUUUCUCCAAAACGUUAGUAAGUGACUUCUAACUCGUUUUCUUCAAUCAUUU
rnacentral:lncRNA from 1 species